rnacentral:rRNA from 1 species
UACGUAGGGGGCAAGCGUUGUCCGGAAUUAUUGGGCGUAAAGAGCGUGUAGGCGGUCCGGUAAGUCAGCUGUGAAAGUCAAGGGCUCAACCCUUGAAUGCCGGUUGAUACUGUCGGGCUAGAGUCCGGAAGAGGAGAGUAGAAUUCCUGGUGUAGCGGUGGAAUGCGCAGAUAUCAGGAGGAAUACCCAUAGCGAAGGCAGCUCGCUGGGACGGUACUGACGCUAAGGCGCGAAAGCGUGGGGAGCGAACAGG